rnacentral:rRNA from 1 species
UACAGAGGGUGCGAGCGUUAAUCGGAAUUACUGGGCGUAAAGCGCGCGUAGGCGGCUUUGCAAGUCGGGUGUGAAAUCCCCAGGCUUAACCUGGGAACUACAUUCGAGACUGCAUUGCUAGAGUAUGGGAGAGGGAAGUGGAAUUUCCGGUGUAGCGGUGAAAUGCGUAGAUAUCGGAAGGAACAUCAGUGGCGAAAGCGACUUCCUGGACCAAUACUGACGCUCAUGUGCGAAAGCGUGGGAGCAAACAGG